rnacentral:rRNA from 1 species
ACGAACGCUGGCGGCGUGCUUAACACCUGCAAGUCGAACGGAAAGGCCCUGCUUUUGUGGGGUGCUUGAGUGGCGAACGGGUGAGUAACACGUGAGUAACCUGCCCUUGACUUUGGGAUAACUUCAGGAAACUGGGGCUAAUACCGGAUAGGAGCUCCUGCUGCAUGGUGGGGGUUGGAAAGUUUCGGCGGUUGGGGAUGGACUCGCGGCUUAUCAGCUUGUUGGUGGGGUAGUGGCUUACCAAGGCUUUGACGGGUAGCCGGCCUGAGAGGGUGACCGGCCACAUUGGGACUGAGAUACGGCCCAGACUCCUACGGGAGGCAGCAGUGGGGAAUAUUGCACAAUGGGCGGAAGCCUGAUGCAGCAACGCCGCGUGCGGGAUGACGGCCUUCGGGUUGUGAACCGCUUUCGCCUGUGACGAAGCGUGAGUGACGGUAAUGGGUAAAGAAGCACCGGCUAACUACGUG